AAUAUUGGGCAAUGGGCGCAAGCCUGACCCAGCAACGCCGCGUGAAGGAAGAAGGCUUUCGGGUUGUAAACUUCUUUUGAGAGGGACGAAUAAAGUGACGGUACCUCUUGAAUAAGCCACGGCUAACUACGUGCCAGCAGCCGCGGUAAUACGUAGGUGGCAAGCGUUAUCCGGAUUUAUUGGGUGUAAAGGGCGUGUAGGCGGGACUGCAAGUCAGAUGUGAAAACCAGAGGCUCAACCUCUGGCCUGCAUUUGAAACUGUAGUUCUUGAGUGUUGGAGAGGCAGGCGGAAUUCCGUGUGUAGCGGUGAAAUGCGUAGAUAUACGGAGGAACACCAGUGGCGAAGGCGGCCUGCUGGACAAUAACUGACGCUGAGGCGCGAAAGCGUGGGGAGCAAA
rnacentral:rRNA from 1 species